rnacentral:tRNA from 1 species
CUAUAGCUCAGUUGGUAGAGCAACUGAUUUGUAAUCAGUAGGUCCGCGGUUCGAGUCCGUGUG